AGACCCGAAACCCGGUGAUCUAGCCAUGGGCAGGUUGAAGGUUGGGUAACACUAACUGGAGGACCGAACCGACUAAUGUUGAAAAAUUAGCGGAUGACUUGUGGCUGGGGGUGAAAGGCCAAUCAAACCGGGAGAUAGCUGGUUCUCCCCGAAAGCUAUUUAGGUAGCGCCUCGUGAAUUCAUCUCCGGGGGUAGAGCACUGUUUCGGCAAGGGGGUCAUCCCGACUUACCAACCCGAUGCAAACUGCGAAUACCGGAGAAUGUUAUCACGGGAGACACACGGCGGGUGCUAACGUCCGUCGUGAAGAGGGAAACAACCCAGACCGCCAGCUAAGGUCCCAAAGUCAUGGUUAAGUGGGAAACGAUGUGGGAAGGCCCAGACAGCCAGGAUGUUGGCUUAGAAGCAGCCAUCAUUUAAAGAAAGCGUAAUAGCUCACUGGUCGAGUCGGCCUGCGCGGAAGAUGUAACGGGGCUAAACCAUGCACCGAAGCUGCGGCAGCGACACUGUGUGUUGUUGGGUAGGGGAGCGUUCUGUAAGCCUGUGAAGGUGUACUGUGAGGUAUGCUGGAGGUAUCAGAAGUGCGAAUGCUGACAUAAGUAACGAUAAAGCGGGUGAAAAGCCCGCUCGCCGGAAGACCAAGGGUUCCUGUCCAACGUUAAUCGGGGCAGGGUGAGUCGACCCCUAAGGCGAGGCCGAAAGGCGUAGUCGAUGGGAAACAGGUUAAUAUUCCUGUACUUGGUGUUACUGCGAAGGGGGGACGGAGAAGGCUAUGUUGGCCGGGCGACGGUUGUCCCGGUUUAAGCGUGUAGGCUGGUUUUCCAGGCAAAUCCGGAAAAUCAAGGCUGAGGCGUGAUGACGAGGCACUACGGUGCUGAAGCAACAAAUGCCCUGCUUCCAGGAAAAGCCUCUAAGCAUCAGGUAACAUCAAAUCGUACCCCAAACCGACACAGGUGGUCAGGUAGAGAAUACCAAGGCGCUUGAGAGAACUCGGGUGAAGGAACUAGGCAAAAUGGUGCCGUAACUUCGGGAGAAGGCACGCUGAUAUGUAGGUGAAGUCCCUCGCGGAUGGAGCUGAAAUCAGUCGAAGAUACCAGCUGGCUGCAACUGUUUAUUAAAAACACAGCACUGUGCAAACACGAAAGUGGACGUAUACGGUGUGACGCCUGCCCGGUGCCGGAAGGUUAAUUGAUGGGGUCAGCGCAAGCGAAGCUCUUGAUCGAAGCCCCGGUAAACGGCGGCCGUAACUAUAACGGUCCUAAGGUAGCGAAAUUCCUUGUCGGGUAAGUUCCGACCUGCACGAAUGGCGUAAUGAUGGCCAGGCUGUCUCCACCCGAGACUCAGUGAAAUUGAACUCGCUGUGAAGAUGCAGUGUACCCGCGGCAAGACGGAAAGACCCCGUGAACCUUUACUAUAGCUUGACACUGAACAUUGAGCCUUGAUGUGUAGGAUAGGUGGGAGGCUUUGAAGUGUGGACGCCAGUCUGCAUGGAGCCGACCUUGAAAUACCACCCUUUAAUGUUUGAUGUUCUAACGUGGACCCGUGAUCCGGGUUGCGGACAGUGUCUGGUGGGUAGUUUGACUGGGGCGGUCUCCUCCUAAAGAGUAACGGAGGAGCACGAAGGUUGGCUAAUCCUGGUCGGACAUCAGGAGGUUAGUGCAAUGGCAUAAGCCAGCUUGACUGCGAGCGUGACGGCGCGAGCAGGUGCGAAAGCAGGUCAUAGUGAUCCGGUGGUUCUGAAUGGAAGGGCCAUCGCUCAACGGAUAAAAGGUACUCCGGGGAUAACAGGCUGAUACCGCCCAAGAGUUCAUAUCGACGGCGGUGUUUGGCACCUCGAUGUCGGCUCAUCACAUCCUGGGGCUGAAGUAGGUCCCAAGGGUAUGGCUGUUCGCCAUUUAAAGUGGUACGCGAGCUGGGUUUAGAACGUCGUGAGACAGUUCGGUCCCUAUCUGCCGUGGGCGCUGGAGAACUGAGGGGGGCUGCUCCUAGUACGAGAGGACCGGAGUGGACGCAUCACUGGUGUUCGGGUUGUCAUGCCAAUGGCACUGCCCGGUAGCUAAAUGCGGAAGAGAUAAGUGCUGAAAGCAUCUAAGCACGAAACUUGCCCCGAGAUGAG
rnacentral:rRNA from 1 species